rnacentral:rRNA from 1 species
UACGGGGGGGCAAGCGUUGUUCGGAAUUACUGGGCGUAAAGGGCUCGUAGGCGGCCAACUAAGUCGGACGUGAAAUCCCUCGGCUUAACCGGGGAACUGCGUCUGAUACUGGAUGGCUUGAAUCCGGGAGAGGGAUGCGGAAUUCCAGGUGUAGCGGUGAAAUGCGUAGAUAUCUGGAGGAACACCGGUGGCGAAGGCGGCAUCCUGGACCGGCAUUGACGCUGAGGAGCGAAAGCCAGGGGAGCAAACGGGG